rnacentral:lncRNA from 1 species
GAGAUCUAUUGUUCAAUUAGAGGAAAAAUUUAUAUUCCUGUGAAAGAAUGCCCACAUUUUAAUUUUGUUACAAGAAUCUUCGGACCCAGAGGACAUACAACUAAACAGCUUGAAGCAGAAACUGUAUGUAAAAUAAUGGUCGGAGGCAAAGGCUCAAUGAGGAAAAGGAAGAGGAACAAGUUAGAUGCAAACCCAAUCGGGAGCAUCUAAAAGAACUACAUAUACUAAUUACGUAUACUAAUCACUGUGAAAGAUGCUCAAAUCAGAGCAGAAAUAAAACUGAAGAGAGCAGUUGAAGAAGUGAAGAAACUACAGGUACCUGCAGCAGAAGGAGAAAACAGCCUGAAUAAGAUGCAGCUGAUGGAGCUCCUGAUUUUGAAUGACACCUGCAGAGAUUCUAAUGUUAAAUCACCAUCCCUUGCCUAUUCUCUUGUGGCCAUAGCCCAGGCUGCUCCUAGGAUCAUAACUUGUCUUGUGCCUGUCCUCCCACCAGCUGCUUUGAGUACUCUUACCCAGCUGACCCUACCGUAAUGCCUUUGAUCGGACAAAUACAGACCUCUGUUAUGCCAAAAGGAACUCCUCAAC